CGGUAGCUAAUACCGCAUAACGUCGCAAGACCAAAGAGGGGGACCCUCGGGCCUCUUGCCAUCGGAUGUGCCCAGAUGGGAUUAGCUUGUUGGUGGGGUAACGGCUCACCAAGGCGACGAUCCCUAGCUGGUCUGAGAGGAUGACCAGCCACACUGGAACUGAGACACGGUCCAGACUCCUACGGGAGGCAGCAGUGGGGAAUAUUGCACAAUGGGCGCAAGCCUGAUGCAGCCAUGCCGCGUGUAUGAAGAAGGCCUUCGGGUUGUAAAGUACUUUCAGCGGGGAGGAAGGGAGUAAAGUUAAUACCUUUGCUCAUUGACGUUACCCGCAGAAGAAGCACCGGCUAACUCCGUGCCAGCAGCCGCGGUAAUACGGAGGGUGCAAGCGUUAAUCGGAAUUACUGGGCGUAAAGCGCACGCAGGCGGUUUGUUAAGUCAGAUGUGAAAUCCCCGGGCUCAACCUGGGAACUGCAUCUGAUACUGGCAAGCUUGAGUCUCGUAGAGGGGGGUAGAAUUCCAGGUGUAGCGGUGAAAUGCGUAGAGAUCUGGAGGAAUACCGGUGGCGAAGGCGGCCCCCUGGACGAAGACUGACGCUCAGGUGCGAAAGCGUGGGG
rnacentral:rRNA from 1 species